GCGCCUGUAGCUCAGGUGGAUAGAGCGUCGGACUUCUAAUCCGAAUGUCGGGGGUUCGAAUCCUCCCAGGCGCG
rnacentral:tRNA from 1 species